UGGGGAAUUUUGGACAAUGGGCGCAAGCCUGAUCCAGCAAUGCCGCGUGCAGGAUGAAGGCCUUCGGGUUGUAAACUGCUUUUGUACGGAGCGAAAAGGUCUGCCCUAAUACGGUGGGCUCAUGACGGUACCGUAAGAAUAAGCACCGGCUAACUACGUGCCAGCAGCCGCGGUAAUACGUAGGGUGCGAGCGUUAAUCGGAAUUACUGGGCGUAAAGCGUGCGCAGGCGGUUAUGCAAGACAGAGGUGAAAUCCCCGGGCUCAACCUGGGAACUGCAUUUGCGACUGCAUAGCUGGAGUGCGGCAGAGGGGGAUGGAAUUCCGCGUGUAGCAGUGAAAUGCGUAGAUAUGCGGAGGAACACCGAUGGUGAAGGCAAUCCCCUGGGCCUGCACUGACGCUCAUGCACGAAAGCGUGGGGAGCAAACA
rnacentral:rRNA from 1 species